ACUCGGCGGUGCACGGGGAGUAAGAAGCGCCGGCCGGCUGCGUGCUGCCGGGAUCCCUCCGCCCAGGGCUGCCCUUUAAAUGUGAGGCAUCCCGUUGCAGGCGCUGCUCGUUCCGGCGCUUUAAGGGCGAGUGGUCUCGUGUCCGCCCCUCUACGGUGCCUCAGCCUGUUCAGUGCCUGCAUGGAGUGGGUGGGUGCUGCAUAGCGUGGGAUCAGGCGAUGCCAUCUCUGGUCCCAGUGGCAUGAAGGGAUCACUGCAGUUCGGCUGUGCAUGGAGCCUUAAGCACCCGAUGCUGCACCUCCCGGAGGAGCCAUGAGAUACUUGUGCCACUGCCAACAACGCGUGAUUGCUUUCAACUGGUGUCACAGAUCAGUUUGUACCGGUGGUUACAAACUUGAAGUUAAACAUCACAAAUGCAUGUGAAAAUGAAUGAAAUUAAAGACCAUUUUCUAUCAAAAUCUUCAUAAUUUAUUAAAAAAUAUACAUUUUCUCAGUAACAGAUGGUCAAUAAUAGAUGAUAGAUGGCCUCCUCUGUGUAAAUUAAUGGCUGUAAUUCACUUGAGGGCUGCUGCUGAUGUCAUAAGCUGCCAGAGUGCAGCUUGAGUGAUUUAUUAACAGCUGCAGAAAUCCUAGAGUGAAUUACAUCCUUGUAUUCACUUAGGGUCUGCAGAUUGUUAUUUAUAAGAUAUGGAGGUUUGUGUUUCUUCUGUAUUAUAGGAAUCUUUUGUAUGAUUGUAAUGCAUGGGCAUGGUGCAGGACUGACUAGUGUGGAAGUUCAGCUCCCUGUCUGCAGCAAAGGCAGUCAGGUUUUCUCUACUAACACUUAUCAGCAUCAACCCUUUAUUUUUAGAAGAAGCUAAUCAACAUUGGCAGAUGUGUUCAUUUAAGUCCUGCUUUGUGGGUUUUUCCCCCCCCCUGAUGUCAAAUACAAAUAAUGUCCUUCUUUCCCAGGAACCCCUUGUUCACUCAGUGUUUGUAGUCACUGCCCCUCUUCACAAUGAGCUAUGUCCAAACCAAAAAAAUAGUUGAGAUGUUGAUGCUAGAGAGGAGUAAGUGCGAUCUCUAUUAAUAUCUGGAUGUGUAGGAAGAAGGCAACAGAUCCAGAAGGCUAGCAAGGGUGUCUGGAAACCAAAAUCUCUCACAUACAAAGAAGAGAUUGUCCCAUCUCCUAAUGCUACCUCUAUGUAGGGAGAAAACCUUACCUUUCUUCCAUGAAAUUCCUGCUCAGUAAAAGAGAAUGCUUUCUCUGUGGCAGGCCUUCAAAUAUAUUUAUCUUACACAUCAGCCCACCUUAACAUCUCAGACUCAUUCUUCCCAGACUGAAAUUCUCUCUGCAAUGAUCCAUACUUCCCAGAUUUAUCUCAUUCUUCUAAAAUGUGAACAUAUGAAAGCAAAUUAAAUAAUAUUCAUUUCUAUAGCCUUCCCAUUCUGCCAAAAAGUGGGAGUAGGUGUUAUAAAAUCCUGUUUCCCAAACAAGGGACGUGUUUCCAACAAGUAAUGUAAGUCCUAAAGGAAGAAUGAAGGGGAAAUGAGAAUAAAUAAUGAAGAGUUGCAUGGCAGGAAGGAACAGUCAGAAUUCAUCUGCAAAUACUGUUAUUUUUUUGCUGAAGAUGUAAAAUUUCUCAACAGAAUUUAACAGUGAGUGUUUAGAUGCUAGUUAGAUUCCAGUGGGAAUAUUUCCAGCUUUGUCUCUUCUCUCAGUUUUGUUUGCCUAUGGUUAGAUCUUGCUGGUCAUUAGGAGAAGGCUGCAUUUAUUGUUGUCAGCAAGAAAUACUGCUUUGCUACCAAACAACUGCUUUUUUACUUCUGCUUUCCUUCACCAGCCUCCGUCUAUAUGAGUGACCUGUCUCUAAGAGGUACAAAUGAUUUUUUUUUCCAGAGAAAACAAUUUGAAUAAAAACAGGCUCUAGAAAUUAUUCAGUGCCUUGAGGCAGAGUCCUUUGAAGCCAUUAUGAAUUCACUAAUUUCAGCAAGCCUAUUAUUGCUAUUAUAGCACCAUGGACAAAGCCCAGUCACUUCGAGAUCCCACUAUGUUAGAUAUUGCAUGAAUGUACAGAAUGGUAUCAAGAAACAGGAAAAAUGUCUUUUUUCUGCUUUCUGGAGUGGAAUGCUGCCCUCCUGAUUCUUUUGAAAUUGCCUACAGAUUUGUAGUAGUCAAACUUUGUAUAUCCAAAAGC